ensembl:lncRNA
UGUCUAAAACCGUAGAAGGGACAUACAUGUGUGUAGUUUGGAUUCAAAGGAGUUUUGAUUAUGGGUAUGUAGAAAUACACAUGAUAAACACAACUCGGGAAAUAAUGACUAAGGUACAAGUUAUACCCCCUAGGAAAACUCGACAUGUGAGAGAUCUGCAGAUUCCGAAUAGAGAAAUAGAACAGGAAAAUUUAAUUGUGGGCUUAAUUCGAGAUUUUGGGAAAGUACAAAACGUUACUAAAAUUACUGCAUGUCUCCCUAUGCCUCAUGCAGCAGGAGACCCAAUUCCAUGGGGAAUAAUUCCAGUGCCGGAAAUACCCAAAAUGUUUAAGAAUAUUACAAGGAAUUGCAAAUUUGUAACCAUCACAUGGAGCGAAACGAUAGAUGUAUGUUUAUUAAGUGACAAAAUGAUGAAGAAGCAAUGUGAACAGAUGCCGGGAUAUUUCCGAUGGGUAGUAAUUGGGACAUGGGUAACAAGUGAAACAAUUAAUGAAUUAAAAGGAUACUGUUUAGUUACAAAUUCAACACACCCAUGCUCUAAAGUUCCGGCUUCAGUAAAACGAGAAAAACAAGAAGAGGUCUGUCAAAAUAUUACCAGUUCUACAACCAUGGAAGAAUGGCAAACAAUUUGGGGACCCAGCCUGCUAGAGACAUAUAGUUAUAUUGGAAAGGUACAGUGGUGCAUUCACUGGAAGGGGAAAAAGAAUCAAACUUAUUCUACAGGAAAUAGAGGGAAUCAUAAUUGGAGGACAGAAACACAUACAAAAGAGGAUUGGAAUUGUACCCGAAUAUAUACAUGUGAUACCCCAGACGAUGAAAUAGGCUUAAUGCCAGUCAAAGCCCUCCUGCAGUUAGGAUGUGAGUGUCGAGGAUAUAACCAUACUAUUAAAGGACAUGUGAGAAACAUUGAUUGUCACACUACUACAGUUAGAAGUCCCGGAAACCUAGUAUGGGUCAUGGGACAUGGUCAAUGGACCACCCACAUGCCACUAGACGGUCCGGUUGUACCUGUCACACUAGGGAUACCUACUCUUUGUCCACUCUGGAGAAAAGAGAAGUUAACACCAGCAGAGAUGCGACCACGGGAGAAAAGA